GACGAACGCUGGCGGCGUGCUUAACACAUGCAAGUCGAACGGGCCUUGUCCCCUUUUUUUUGGGGGUGGGGUUAGUGGCGAACGGGUGAGUAACACGUGAGUAACCUGCCCCUCACUUCUGGAUAACCGCUUGAAAGGGUGGCUAAUACGGGGUGUUCUGGCCUGCUCGCAUGGGUGGGUUUGGAAAGAUUCGACCGGUUUUGGUGGUUUUGGUGGGGGAUGGGCUCGCGGCCUAUCAGCUUGUUGGUGGGGUGAUGGCCUGCCAAGGCUUUGACGGGUAGCCGGCCUGAGAGGGUGGGCGGUCACACUGGGACUGAGACACGGCCCAGACUCCUACGGGAGGCAGCAGUGGGGAAUAUUGCACGAUGGGCGCAAGCCUGAUGCAGCGACGCCGCGUGAGGGAUGGAGGCCUUCGGGUUGUGAACCUCUUUCGCCAGUGAAGAAGGUCCUGCUCUUUGUGGUGGGGUUGACGGUAGCUGGGUUAAUGAAGCGCCGGCUAACUACGUG
rnacentral:rRNA from 1 species